GCCGGGUGCAGUGACGCGCACCUGUAAUCUCAGUGACUAGGGAAGCUGAGGCAGGAGGAUCGAAAGUUCAAAGCCAGCCUCAA
rnacentral:sRNA from 1 species